rnacentral:lncRNA from 1 species
ACAUCCCAUCCAACUACUGUCUCCUGUUUGCUCCAUAGAAUAUUUGAACACUUCUCUUGAAAUCUUCUGUCUGCCUUCUGACAUGUAUCUGACCGGAGUCAUCCUGCUAACAACUGUGUGAACGAAGAGCAGAAAAGGCAGCUUCACCCCAGAGAACUCAUCGCAUGUCAGAUAGCGUAUGGAGCUGGUGGACCAACACAGGCAAGGAGAAGCUGUCUGGGAACGCCUUGGACAUCCAUGGAAACCAUGAAGAACACAGUGGAGAGCUCUGUGCCUCGGCCAAGGGCAUAAGCCGUUUGGCUUACACACAUGUCUGGCCCACAUUCCUGCAAGAGGUCUGCAUUUACUAUGAUGAGAGAGUCCAUCAAAAGAAAAAGAGAGAGAUGUGAAGAAAAGAUUCUUGGAAAUUUGAUGACUGGAAAAAUGACAGUUCUUGCCAAGGAUUUUUCUGAAAACUGGAAAAAACAACAGGACUGGGACCAGCAAUCUGUGGGGUAAGGGAGCUUUUAGUGUUGACGUCUUCCAUUCCGCAGAACGACACAGAUUCCGACCCAUUAAUCUCUGGUGGGGUCAGCAAGGUCUCCUGUUGUUCACAGUGCAUCGACAGUCAAAAGUAUUCUCAAAACAUUUCAAUAGGAUACUUUUUUUUUCUUGUGAAAGGGGAAAAAACGGAAUGAGCAUAUGCUAUUUAAGAGCUCCAUCCAAAACUUUUUUAAAAAUGCCAUCUGAAAAGUAAAAAUACUUUUAGCACAGGGUGAUAUUUAUUAAAACCUUAACAAGUUGAACAUGGUAUCAUGAGUAAAAAGUUCAGAGUUGACAACAAGCUGAAAAUAUUCUGAGUUGUAACACAUGGAGCCACUGAAGCUGCUACUAAAUCCUAUGGGGUAUUUAUCAGCAAAAAUGAUAAUAGGUUUAUAAAGCUAUACAGUGUAUGACAAUAAGAUACGAUUUAAGGAAGAAAUGACUUGGAGCUAUGUUAAGAAGAGUUUUUUAGACACCUUUGUCCCCUCAUUUCAUGGAGAAUAUAAAAUUUCACUUUUGUCUGCAGUAACACCUGACUCUCCAACAGAGAAGACAAAAAGUGGCCUUACACAGAUGACUGGGCUCUGCAAUAGCAACAAUUGAUGAUUUCUUAGUUUAAAGGAAAAAGAGGAGAAACUGUACGGAAUUCUGCUGGUCCCAUGUGUUCAAAUGUUAUGAAUCAGGCUCUCUGCAGUCAUCAAUAAACCAGACUAUUGUUGCCA